UAUACAAUGUCACAGCUCCUCGUGUUGC
rnacentral:sRNA from 1 species